UCUAAUUCAAAACUUCACACACAUAUCUAAACCUUUGCGCCGAAGACCACCAAUCUCUCCUCUUCCCCUCUCUUCUCUGCGCCGCCAGCACCACUCAUAUUCUCCAUCUAAUUUUGAUUCAAGAAAGGCAUAUGUAGCCUGAAUCCGACCCCAUUAUCCCAAUAUAAUGUUGUCUUGCAAAUACAAUCUAUUAUAUGGUUCAUGAUGCAUGGAUGAUGAGACCAGAGAAGUUCAACAACAUUAUUCAACAGCUUAUCGACCCGUUAGAGAGUUGAUUCAGCGAGAAAGAAAAAGGAUAUUGUAAGUAUACUAACACACUCUCAACCGUCUUUUCUAUCAUGCAUAUAUGUGGGUUUAAUCAUGAUUGUUCGGGUUCAUUUACACGUUCGAGUUGGACCAUUUCGGUGCAGAUAUGGAGACUAAAUGAGUUAAUGGGUAAAAGGGCCAUUUACUAAAUGUUGUGUAUGUGAGGCUGGUUUGUGGAUCAGAUAGUAAUUGUUUUAAUAAAGGCAUGGGUUGUGAUAAUUGUUAUUCGUAAUCAAAUAUAAUGUUCAUAGAAUUAUGCAGGCACAAGAUACUGUCAACUUUGCUCAACCAUUCCACAGGAUCCAGCCAUCCAGGUAGGAAAGUAACCCCGCUUAAAAAUGUGUGUUUUUAUUAUAUACUUGCAUUUGGACGAGUGAUUCGCGUGUUGCGGUCAUGCAUUACAAGUAUGAGGAUGAAGCACAGAAGGUGUGGAUAGCUAGGUGGUGUUGCAGACUCUACAGGGCAUUUACAUAGCUAAAAAUCAAGGAGUUACUUAUCUUUUUCCUGGUCGUCCUUCAAUAGCUGAAGUUUUCCAAACAGGCAAGCAAAGACACAUACCUAACAAAGAUUUCAAAUCUGGUAAGAGCUUGCUGCCAAAGUUGCCAAGAAGUAGCUGUAUGAUAGCAGUGCUGCAACUUUUUUGUUGUAUCUUUCAACUACCUUAUGUUUGAAUUUGCAAUGUUUUAUGUUAAGCCUUAUAAAUAAAAGUUGGAUAUUUAUACUUUCUUUAUAUUAUUGUAUCUCUAUAGCUAAACAAAAAUGUUUCGUGUACUUUGAAGUAAAUAAUUAUUAUGUUUAACCCGGUCAACGACCGGGUCUAGAUCUAGUUCUUAUUGGAA